CCUACGGGCGGCAGCAGUGAGGAAUAUUGGUCAAUGGGCUUACGCCUGAACCAGCCAAGUCGCGUGAGGGAAGACUGCCCUAUGUGUUGUAAACCUCUUUUGUCAGGGAGCAAUUGGCGCUACGUGUAGCGUUAUCGAGAGUACCUGAAGAAAAAGCAUCGGCUAACUCCGUGCCACCAGCCGCGGUAAUACGGGGGAUGCGAGGUUUAUCCGGAUUUAUGGGGUUUAAAGGGUGCGUGGGGGGAAUGCAAAGUCAGCGGUAAAAGCGCGGGGCGAAACCUCGAUCCGCCGUUGAUACUGGCGUUCUUGAGUGGGCGAGAGGUAUGCGGAAUGCGUGGUGUAGCGGUGAAAUGCAUAGAUAUCACGCAGAACUCCGAUUGCGAAGGCAGCAUACCGGCGCCCAACUGACGCUGAAGCACGAAAGCGUGGGUAUCGAACAGGAUUAGAUACCCCAGUAGUC
rnacentral:rRNA from 1 species